UACGAAGGGGGGCUAGCGUUGCUCGGAUUGACUGGGCGUAAAGGGCGCGUAGGCGGAUAGUACAGUCAGGCGUGAAAUUCCUGGGCUCAACCUGGGGGCUGCGUUUGAUACGUGUUGUCUGGAGUUCGGAAGAGGGUCGUGGAAUUCCCAGUGUAGAGGUGAAAUUCGUAGAUAUUGGGAAGAACACCGGUGGCGAAGGCGGCGACCUGGUCCGAUACUGACGCUGAGGCGCGAAAGCGUGGGGAGCAAACAGG
rnacentral:rRNA from 1 species